rnacentral:pre_miRNA from 1 species
AUUUGUUGAUUGACAUCUAUGCAUAUCGGUCAUCCUCGUGUUGAUCGAUUCGUUAAGAUGACCAUCAACAAACG